GGUGCACUAGUAAUAAUAAAAGAAAAAAAAAGACAUAAAAAGGACUUGAACAUGAAUUAUUGGAGGCGCACAUUGCACAACAUGUGAUCUACCAAAUUAUUAAUGAUUUACCUCACAAAAUUCAAAAUAUAAAUAUUAGAAUCCUAAAUAUUAUUAGGGGUGCACAUGCACCCAUAGUAUAUAAGGUGGCUUCGCCCCUGAGAUUGAUGUCACGGUUCUAUAGUUACAGAAUCAGAAACUUAUCCAGCAAUUAAACUUACCUUAGCUUUUCGAGGAAUCCUUCAUCAGUGGUCGUGAAUAACUGAUUUUUCUCAGGACGAUGUUGAGACCAAGGUCCAAGAGUUGCAUCUCAACCAAAUAUGACGACCAAUUUAUCUCUGUUAGCCUGCUUUGGAACCAGAACCAGGUCAGAUAUUACUUUUGUGUCUUUUUUUUCUUUCGAGUUGUCUAGUUCCAUUAGGUGGUUUUCCUUUCGCUAACAAAUGAACAACAUUAUUACCGGUUCUUCUAACAAACAUAUGUAAUGACGUAGAGAAUUAUCAUCUCAAAACCAAAUCAAAAAACCAAAUAUGGCGUAAAAGAUUAUGAAAAUUAGGUAUUAUUAAUCAAAACCUCCGAAUCUCCUUCAAAAAUGGUAUUAGAAAACCACAACUCCAAGUUGAUUGCAUUGCUAAGAGGAGGGUCUUUGCUUCUGCUUCCAAACUUGAAAAUGUCAUGUCUGCAUAUGAUGAUCCCCCAACUUUGUUACUCCAUAGCUAUUGCCAACAAUCCAGCCGCAUUGAACUUUCAGAGUGUUUUAAUUGUAAGAAGCGUUGUAGUUGCAUUUAAACAUUUCGUCGGUGGUCGGACCCAAAACAUAUUUUGUCGAACAGUUUGGUUAGUUUGGUUUGGUUGAUCUAUAAGUGUACUAAUCGUUCCACAUCAGCAACCACAUACUCUACUGUUCAGUAAAUUAAAGUUUUCUAUUUCUGAAAUAACAAAACAUUCCAUUAUAUAAUAGAGAAAUUAAUAUGAAUAUUUUACAUGAAAUGUUACAUGAUGCGUGCGUGAAAAUGCAACAGGAGAAUAAUAAAUAAAAAAGUUUAUUUUUUUUACUUUGAGUGGUAUCUUAGAUCCAUGUGACGGACUAUGGUUUUUUUUUGGCGGCGGUCAUUGUCUCCUCCCUUCCCGGAUAAUUGUGCAAUCUGACAGAACAAAACUCGACGGCAUCUCCAAGUGGUAUUUCUCAUCACUCCUUGCCAAUUGGUGGGGUCAUGAAGCGUAGUCUCGUAUGAAAGCUUUCGGCUUUGGUGACUCGGCGGUUCAACUCCGCUAGCCACAAGUUUGUCCUCGGAGCUAAGGAUUUGUCUUUCUGAUUGUUAGAAAAGGUUGCAGCAACAGCGGAAGGUGCUAACGAAGUUGCUAUGCUAUCUUACCGUUCUGAGGGGACAUGAAUAUGUGGUAAUUCGGACAACCUAUUUUGAGAAAUUAAUUAAAUUAAUAUAUUAAAAAACCGAAAAACAUUAUGAAUAUUUGAUAUGUAUUCCAUCCAUGAUGCCCUGACCGGUCUUUCUCA
rnacentral:lncRNA from 1 species